UACGUAGGGUGCGAGCGUUGUUCGGAAUUAUUGGGCGUAAAGGGCGUGUAGGCGGCUUCGCAGGUCUGUGGUGAAAGGAUACAGCUCAACUGUAUUGAGCCGCGGAAACGGCGGAGCUUGAGGCUGGGAGGGGCUGGUGGAAUUCCCUGUGUAGCGGUGAAAUGCGUAGAGAUGGGGGAGAACACUCGUGGCGAAGGCGGCCAGCUAGACCAGUUCUGACGCUGAGACGCGAAAGCGUGGGGAGCGAACAGG
rnacentral:rRNA from 1 species